rnacentral:rRNA from 1 species
AUGAACGCUGGCGGCGUGCCUAAUACAUGCAAGUCGAGCGAACAGACGAGGAGCUUGCUCCUCUGACGUUUGCGGCGGACGGGUGAGUUACACGUGGAUAACCUACCUAUAAGACUGGGAUAACUUCGGGAAACCGGAGCUAAUACCGGAUAAUAUAUUGAACCGCAUGGUUCAAUAGUGAAAGACGGUUUUGCUGUCACUUAUAGAUGGAUCCGCGCCGCAUUAGCUAGUUGGUAAGGUAACGGCUUACCAAGGCAACGAUGCGUAGCCGACCUGAGAGGGUGAUCGGCCACACUGGAACUGAGACACGGUCCAGACUCCUACGGGAGGCAGCAGUAGGGAAUCUUCCGCAAUGGGCGAAAGCCUGACGGAGCAACGCCGCGUGAGUGAUGAAGGUCUUCGGAUCGUAAAACUCUGUUAUUAGGGAAGAACAAAUGUGUAAGUAACUAUGCACGUCUUGACGGUACCUAAUCAGAAAGCCACGGCUAACUACGUG